AAAAAGAAAAUGCUACAAGAUGCCUUUAAAGAAAACCUUCUCCCUCAGAGUGACAUUAAAAGACUGAUGUCUGAAACAUAUUAUGCCCAGCGCAUCACUCUGAAUAGUGAGGAAAAUAUUAUCAAAGUCAUGGAAGAAUGGCCUUACCUCUUCGACACCACCCAUCUGCUCGACCACACAGAGAAACUAAUGGGAUUUCCUGUCCAAACCAAAUUGCUGAACCAAAUUCAGGAGAAGGGCGAGAUCAUCACUGAGUUUCUUGGUAGCAGGGAAUCACAGGAGUUACUACAGACCCAUUGAAGCUCCUCCAGGGUCUAGUGAAGUACCUCUCAGAGGAGCAAAAGGUGCUUUUAAUAAAUGAAGAAGAUGCCUUAGCAGAGCUGCCAAGCACCCCGUGCAUCAUAGUUAUGGAUGAAGGAAGAUACAAGAUGUCAGUGGAUGAAGUCCCAGUUAACAUAAUCGGCUGUCCACUAGUUGCUGUGAGCUAUAUGUUCAGCCUGUAUUAUGUGCUGAAUAUAAAGUAUCCAACGGGAGCAGCCCUGACUCUGGAGUUCAUCCAGAGGUGCCUGCUGGGGAUAAACCCAGAACGGGGCACGAAAGCAGAAAAGCGGGGGAAACAGUACAACAUCCCUCCAAAACUGCUUAGAUUCCUGUCGGACCUUAAUGACUUCAAGAAUCCGUGGAAGAUUUAAAGCAGAAGAAGCAUCUCAAACAGAGAGAAAGGAGAGUGAUGUGUGUCUGUGGACACCCAUCUUUACGGAGGACAACCAUGGUAUUAUUAACUUUUUUUAAAUAAGGACCAUUUUGCAAAAGUGAGGACAUUUCAGCCGACUACACUUUAUUUUCCCCGGCCUUUAAAGGCUAUUUACAAGCUUCUUUCAAGUUUUCCGAGAGAUCCUCAGAAAACGUGCAAACAUCUGUUCCUGUGCAUCUACGCUUUUUGUACUCUGAAUACAGACUUUUGCUCUCUACUGCCCUCUACUGACAUGGACUUAUUUGCCCUGGAACAAGGAAAACUAGAGGAAGACAUGUCACAUGGUUUUAGAAUGAAAUG